GAUGAACGCUAGCGGCAGGCCUAAUACAUGCAAGUCGAACGGGAUCUGAGGGUAGCUUGCUACCCGAUUUGAGAGUGGCGCACGGGUGCGUAACGCGUGAGCAACCUACCCAUAUCAGGGGGAUAGCCCGAAGAAAUUCGGAUUAACACCGCAUAAUAAUACGCCAACACAUGUUGAUGUAUUUAAAUAUUUAUAGGAUAUGGAUGGGCUCGCGUGACAUUAGCCAGUUGGUAAGGUAACGGCUUACCAAGGCGACGAUGUCUAGGGGCUCUGAGAGGAGAAUCCCCCACACUGGUACUGAGACACGGACCAGACUCCUACGGGAGGCAGCAGUAAGGAAUAUUGGUCAAUGGGCGCAAGCCUGAACCAGCCAUGCCGCGUGCAGGAUGACUGCCCUAUGGGUUGUAAACUGCUUUUGUUAGGGAAUAAACCUUCUUACGUGUAAGGAGCUGAAUGUACCUAAAGAAUAAGGAUCGGCUAACUCCGUGCCAGCAGCAGCCGCGG
rnacentral:rRNA from 1 species